GUCAUGUUCUGUUGAGUUUCAGCUUUGAGAUUUGGAUUGUCACGUAAUUCGUUUCCCUGUCCUCCCCCUCUCGCUGAGCUGAGCCCACCUACUCCCUCCCACCACUUGCAUUCACACACUCGAUUCCGCUGCUCUCUCCCUCUUCCUCUCCCCCGCGGCGGAGCCAUAAACCCUAGGCCUCGCCGUCGUCGGAGGCGCCGCCGUGAUGUCGCACUUUGGAAGGACGGGUCCGCCGGACAUCCGCGACACCUUCUCGCUGCUCGUCCUCAACAUCAGCUUCCGAACCACGGCCGACGACCUUUUCCCGCUCUUCGAGCGCUGCGGCAAGGUCGUCGACGUCUUCAUCCCGAGGGACCGCAGGACCGGGGACUCGAGGGGUUUUGCGUUCGUGCGGUACAAGUACGCCGACGAGGCGCAGAAGGCUAUAGAUCGGCUCGAUGGCCGUAAUGUGGAUGGGAGGAACAUCAUGGUGCAGUUUGCAAAGUACGGCCCCAAUGCUGUGCCAAUCCACAAAGGAAGGGUCAAAGAGGGGGUUGAGAAAUCAAGAGACAGGUCAAGGAGCCGUAGUCCAAGGCCAAGGCACAGAGACAGAGAUGAUAGAAGGCGAAGUCGCAGCAGGAGCAGGAGCAGAGAAAGGCAUGUCCAUGAUAGAGAUAGGGACUAUCGUCGUCGGAGCAGAAGUAGAAGCCGAAGUAUGAGUUCAAGCCCUGACCACAAAAGUCAUCGUAGAGCAAGAGAUGAUGUUAAGCGCAAGAGCAGAAGCAAGAGUAGAAGCAGGAGCAGGAGUAGAAGCCGCUCAUACCACAGUUCUUCACCUGCCCGGCGCAGUGCUAGUCCUCCCAAGAGCCCACCGCCACAGAGGAGCCCCACUCCUGAAAAGCAUGCCAAUGGAAAAGAUUCACCUCUGUCACGCAGUGUAUCUCCAUCACCGAAGCGUGCAAGCUCCCGCAGCCCAGGCAGCGAUAGCAAGGAAUAAAGCUUGUUGAUCUGGUGAUGCUUAAAGAGCAGUCUUCCCAUGGGAUUGCAGAACGUUGAGAAGGCUGUUUGAACAUGAUGGCAGUAGCAAUCUGCAAUCAACCGCUAUCCAAGUUAUCUGUUCGUGAGAGGGGUUGCUGUUUACCGGUAGAAUGGUAUUGCUCGGGACCGACUAUGGUGGAUGAUGUCUUGCUGUUAGUCUUUGUCAUUGGUGUUGAUAUGGGGAUGACACAGCUGAUGAUGUGACGGUGCUGAUAUUGUAUCGAUAUUGAUGCUGAUGCUGCUUACAGUGACCAUCUUGAUGCAGUCUAUAUUUUUGUUCAAGAGGUUCUGAAUCAAAUCAUGAAAUUCCAGAUGGAUCUCAUGAUUGGUAAGAAAACUUGUACAAUAAUGCCUUACAUGCUAUGUUGGUUCUUACCCCUACCCUACUUUGGCAAAUGCUUUGCAUCAGUUCUAGUUGGAACAAGGUGCAGACUGGCAGAGAUGCUGAGGGGUGUGUGUACUCAUAGUAACAAUGGUACUCGUCGUCGUCGUAAUAUGGCUAAUAAUCUCUACGGGAAUGGAGGUAUCAGUUAUGAUUAGCGUGGGUCCUGUUGAUCAUGUGGUGGUGAACCAAUUUAUUUUGGUCCUUCUCUAUCAUAUUGUUUUAUUAUUCUGCUAGUGUUGAGUGACUCGAAUCAGAUGCUCUAGAUUUAUUCAUUCUCCUAAGCACCAGUAAUGAAAUCCAUGAAGACAAUGCCUCUGUACCAAGGCUCAAUAUUAACAUGUCAUCUCUGUCUGGAAAUGUAUUUGUGAAAUAUGGUUUGUACGGUACCUGCCCAUUUCGUUUGUAGUAGAGCACUUGACUAUAAUAUCAGUACGUUUAA